UGAUUCCCCCUCCAGCAUCACCACCACAAAUGGUAUGGUCCUUAGCAUCAGGUCCUUUUUUGUCCCCCCACUGGUCUUCUAAGCAGAUUGAAGCAGCUUCAUCUCAUUUCUGAUUCAUCCUGAUCCCUUCAGUGGCUUGCUCCUGCAUUAGCAAUGGAAAACUGGCCCAAAUGGGUUUAAAAUGGUCAGAAGUUGAUCUUGAUCAGUUCAAAUCUAUUUUGCCCAGUUGAAAUCAAUUCUGCAGAGCUGGAGCCUGAGAUCGGUAAAUCCAGGAAGAGCUGAAGACUAUGCUGAUACGAGCCAAAGCAAGGAAUCAGACUCACAGAUUUCUCUGGUUCCAGAUUCAGUUCUUGCCUUAUUUCAUCCUGGACCUGUGGCCACCAGAAGUCCUGAGAUGUGGCAAGCCUGGAUAAUCUCACCCGGAUCUUCCCUGAAAACAGCAGGAUCAGUCAUUUGGCCUUUAGCCCCAUGCUAUCCUGCUUCACUGAGGAAUGCAGCCAUGAGGUGGCUUUAGGAUAUCACCAGCCCCAUCUCUUCUCCUGAUAUCCAACACCUAGAUUUAAUGAAAAAGAAUACUAAAGAGUUAAAAAAUAGAAGAAAAUUUUGGUGAAUCAACGAUUGAAUUAUUUCCUCUUCGGAUAGGUGACAAGCCAUAGCUACUUCAUUCAUGAAGAAAGUUUUCCACCACCAUGGGAUCCCCUGCUAUCAGACCUUGACUACUGUGCCUAGUUUUUUUUUUUUUUUAUUUCGGCAUAUUAUGGGGGUACAGAUUUUAAGGUUGUGCCUAGUUUUUAUUUCUUGUUUCUAUAGCAUAUUUGAAUCCUGCCGAUGAUAGCUCCACAUGUCCACAUCUUUCUGCCUGUUGCCAUAUACCUGUAGACUAAUGGCAAGAUUAUUUUGAUCAAACUGGGUAAUAAACUAUGACUGCUGCUGUGUCUCCUAAUGAUAAUCCAGCUGAGCUAAGGUCUUACUAUCAUGAUAUUCCAUUUUAUAAAAAAAUAAAUUUUAUUAUAUAUAUUUGAGGUUUACAACAUGGUGUUAUAGAAUACAUAUAGAUAGUAAGAUGGUUACUACAGUGAAACAAAUUAACAAAUCUAUCAUCUCAAGUUACUUUUUUGUGACAAGAACAGCUAAAAUCUACUUAUUUAACAAAAAUCCCAAAUACAAUAUUAAUUUAUUAACUAUACUCUUCAUGUUGUGCAUUAAAUUUCUAGACUGUUCAUCCUACGUAUCUGCUACCUUGAUAUUCCUCUUUAUUAAUAACAAUUCACUGCACUUCUCUACCCUGAACAUUCCCCUUCCAGAGUAAUUGUGAUUGUUAAUCCUGCUACCUCCUUGUUUCUCCUAGUUUCACCAAUAUCUUGAUAGCAUAUAGAAAGACAUAUAAAGAAUAUUCUAAUCAUUAUAAAUUCCCAGCCAAGAACAUCCAAGUGGAAGACUCCAUUUGGUUCUCCUCCCUAUGAUUUUGAACUUAUACCCAUGCCAAUUCAUAUGCACUUAUUCCAGUUUUCAUGCUUUAUGCUUUACCUGAUAUGGUUCUCCACCAUAUAUACUAUGGUUGUCUCUGGCCCAACAAGGAAAAUACAAGGAUAACAUAGAGUAGAUAUUAUAAUCUUGGUGAAACAGCGGCCAGUUUUGGAUCACGAAACAAUCAUGGGAACUCUCCCUACUACCUCAGGAAUGCACCAGACUUCAUUAGCGUUUUCUAUGGGUAACCCUGGAAAAACCCAAUCUCUACCUAGGAAAGGGGAUCUUGGAGAUAUAUGUCCACCCCAGCUCAGCCCCUUCAUCAGCCCGAACUUUCCGAGCAAACACAAGCUAUUGUAAAAAGUCAGCUGUGGGUGGAAUGCUGUUAAGAAUAAUAAUGUACCACUUCUGCCCAGACUUACUGCUCCUUAUUUCCAAUAUUCCUGUACCUCUGAACCUCAUUUGACUUCAUACCUUGGCUUCUCAUCUUCAACUGAGGCCCAUUUAAAAGCUCGAUGAAUUUCUUUGGAUGUGUGUAUUUGGUUUGACUUUGGUACCUUCCUUCAGACCUGAUGUUUGGUAUUCCUACUCCAGAUCUACAGACCAUAAUUUCAGGUAUUUCUGACCAGAGCUGCCACGCAUUAACUUCACCAUCAAUGAGCUUGCCACCACAUUCUAACAAGUUGUCUAGGAACUGUCCAUAAGCCAAAAUCUCAAGAGUAUCUGGACACCAAGCAUCACUUCUACAUACUUCUAUAAAUGCUAAUUCUCUAGUAGCAUGUCAAGGAAGGUCUCACUCUGUCACCCAGGCUGGAAUGUAGUGGCACAAU